CAGUCGCCACGGUAAUACGUAGGUGGCGAGCGUUGUCCGGAAUUAUUGGGCGUAAAGGGAGCGCAGGCGGGCGAGUAAGUCUUUCUUAAAAGUUCGGGGCUCAACCCCGUGAUGGGAAAGAAACUACAUGUCUUGAGUACAGGAGAGGAAAGCGGAAUUCCCAGUGUAGCGGUGAAAUGCGUAGAUAUUGGGAGGAACACCAGUGGCGAAGGCGGCUUUCUGGACUGCAACUGACGCUGAGGCUCGAAAGCCAGGGGAGCGAACGGGAUUAGAUACCCCCGUAGUCCCUGUCUCUUAUACA
rnacentral:rRNA from 1 species